AGUUCGUACUGUGAAGCAUCCUGUUAAGUCAGGCAACGAGCGAGACCCACGCCCACAGUUGCCAGCGUACUCUCCGGAGUGACGGGUACACUGUGGGGACCGCCGCUGCUAAAGCGGAGGAAGGAAUGGGCAACGGUAGGUCAGUAUGCCCCGAAUAUCCCGGGCUACACGCGAGCUACAAUGGUUGGUACAAUGGGUAUCUACCCCGAAAGGGGACGGGAAUCUCCUAAAACCAAUCUUAGUUCGGAUUGAGGGCUGCAACUCGCCCUCAUGAAGCUGGAAUCCGUAGUAAUCGCGUUUCAACAGAACGCGGUGAAUACGUCCCUGCUCCUU
rnacentral:rRNA from 1 species